AUUUGAGUGAGUGGCGGACGGGUGAGUAACACGUGGGUAACCUGCCUAAAGGUGGGGGAUAACAUUUGGAAACAGAUGCUAAUACCGCAUAAAACCUAACACCACAUGGUGUAGGGUUGAAAGAUGGUUUCGGCUAUCACUUUAGGAUGGACCCGCGGUGCAUUAGUUAGUUGGUGAGGUAAAGGCUCACCAAGACCGUGAUGCAUAGCCGACCUGAGAGGGUAAUCGGCCACACUGGGACUGAGACACGGCCCAGACUCCUACGGGAGGCAGCAGUAGGGAAUCUUCCACAAUGGACGAAAGUCUGAUGGAGCAACGCCGCGUGAGUGAAGAAGGUUUUCGGAUCGUAAAACUCUGUUGUUGGUGAAGAAUGUAUCUGAUAGUAACUGAUCAGGUAGUGACGGUAUCCAACCAGAAAGCCACGGCUAACUACGUG
rnacentral:rRNA from 1 species